UGUGGGAUCUUGUGGGUGGGAGCAUUUGUAAGCUUGCAGGCUGGCUAGGACUGGGUUUCAUCUCUUUGUACCUAUUUCUGCUGUUGUUUGAGGAUCCAGCAGGUGCUCAGGGAAUGUGCAUCCCUUUUCCUUGGAGAAAUACAGGCAGCAGUGGAGUUUGGAGCUGGAAAUAGUGUGGCGGUCAGCCACGUCCUCCCUCCUUCCCAUGGGAAGUAAGAUGACUGCACAGAGGCAGAUAUAGGGUUUGUUAUGGACCAGGUCCUCACCUACCAAGCCUUGGGUCAGAUUGGAGGGUUAAUGACCAACCUGGCUGGUUUAGAGGGACGUGCAGCAGAGCUGCUCACUGUAUGCUGGGGCAUACGUUGAGUACUGGUGAAAAGAGAGCAAAGAUCCUGUUCAAAUGACAUGUGCCUCUGGCUUCAGACUGUGAUUCUCGUUUCCUGUUACAAGAAGUACAGCUCCGAGUUCUGGCAUGGGACAGGAACUGAAACACUGUCUGUGCCUGAAAACAACACCUCUCCAAUGAGAUUUACUGGGAGCCUUUAUCUCCCUCAAGCUCAGCGGAUGGAGAGUCCAUCUCUUCUUCCUGUAGCUUCACACUGAUAUCAUAAUGGGACAGACUUCUUACAAAUACUGGUGGGUUUGCUAUGCCUAAAUAUUGCUGCACGCAAACAAUGCAACUAUCAAGUCUUUUUUGGCAGUGAAGCACUUCCUCCCACAAAUGAUGUUAAAGCAAAGAUGUAAACAACAUGCAAACAGUGAUCCGUCCCAUCGCUGUCUGCUCAGCAGGAAGGUCUCUGAGGCCCAUCCGUUUUGUGAUAAAGCUGUCUGUAAUGGAUGGGUUUGAUCCGAAGGCAAGGCAGUUUGCUCGUGACAUGUCUCUGCUGUCAUUCCAGAUGGAUUUGUUCUAACCCGGUGGUUCUCAGGCUGUUUCAUCAGGAAAGUCCCUUUUCCCAUCUGGAGGCCGUCUCCUUCCCACCCACGUUUCUUAUAAGGAGAGCAGAAGCUCUGCUCCUGUGACAUCUCCUUGGGGCUAUGGAGCUGCAGGGAAGGGUGGCUGUUCUGUUCCUGCCUCUCAUCCACAAAUCCUCCUUUUAAAGGUCCAAGUUUCUACCCUGAGCAAGCUGGCCAGCUGCUGUCAGGAUAGAAGACUUCCAUUGUCAGCCUGCACCCAGCCCUGAAACCAGCAGAGAGAGUGAGCAGCUGUGUGGGGCUCAGUUGCUGGCUGAGGUUAAACCAUGGCACUGAACAUGAGUCUGGAGAUGUUGGGCAAAGCAGAAUGAAAACACCAAGUUGCUGAAGCCCCUGGUGCAGCCUGUGUGAUCAGAAACGUCACCAGUUCAGCCAUGCAACAUCAUUUUUCUUCAGGUGCGGAGGUAUCUUUUUGGCAUGCCAGCUCCAAACACUGCUGUUGGAGCAUCCUCCCUGCAAGAGAUCAUGAGCUUCACAAGAAUUCAACAGUAUUCAUUCAUUACAAAUAUGCUCAGCUCAACUGUGAUAAUAUUUUCACUUUCUCAGAGUAAAACGGGGUCAGUGUGUGAUUAUGUUCUUGCUCCUUUUUCCAGGUGAGGGGUCCUUUCCCACCCAGUGCAAACACUGUGCAGGGAUGGUAACAGCAAUUACACGUGCCCGUUACUGGGAAAAGUAGUCCCCAGAAGUACUGUGUGAACAGGGGAUGACACGAUCAUUUCUCCUUCAUGCAUAAAUAUUUCUGACUGUAUCUCGCAUUUAGGAGAUAGUGACUAGCUGAGUUGUUGGGUAAUAGUAAACCCCAUGUUGUUGUCAUUAGCUUGAUUCACCAAGGGAAAAUGUGACUUUAAUUGGUGUCUGACUGGGGACAAAACCACUCAUCAGGAACAGAGUGUUUCGGUGUGGUACAGUGCCACAGUUACUGCUGUCGUUGCUGUAUUCAGGCAGAUGAUAAAGUCAGGAUUGUGCAACUUGGUGCAUAGUUUGCUCUUCAUAACAUUUCGCAGGAGCAGGAGAGGGGCAUGUAUCUAUGUCUGGAUUAAUAUACUCUUACAUGAGAUAAUGCAUUUAAGUUGGGCUACUGUUAAGAGCUUUCUGGGACC